UACGGAGGGUGCAAGCGUUAUCCGGAUUUACUGGGUUUAAAGGGUGUGUAGGCGGGCUUUUAAGUCAGCGGUGAAAUCUCCGGGCUCAACCCGGAAACUGCCAUUGAUACUAUUAGUCUUGAAUUUUGUUGAGGUAGGCGGAAUAAGUCAUGUAGCGGUGAAAUGCAUAGAUAUGACUUAGAACACCAAUUGCGAAGGCAGCUUGCUAAACAAUAUUGACGCUGAGGCACGAAAGCGUGGGGAUCAAACAGG
rnacentral:rRNA from 1 species